rnacentral:piRNA from 1 species
UGAACUAACUUUGACACUGAGGGAGC